rnacentral:ncRNA from 1 species
UCGCCUAAGCUAGUAUUACCUUAGGCGACUUCUGUAACGUGUCACA